ACUGGAGUUUGAUCCUGGCUCAGGACGAACGCUUGCGGCGUGCCUAAGAAAUGCAAGUCGAACGGGGACUUCGGUCCUAGUGGCGAACGGUCGCGUAACACGUAAGCAACCUGCCCUGAAGUGGGGGACAACAUCCCGAAAGGGGUGCUAAUACCGCAUGUGGUCACGAGUCGGCAUCGACUUGUGUCUAAAAGAUUUAUCGCUUCAGGAUGGGCUUGCGGCCUAUCAGGUAGUUGGUGGGGUAAUGGCCUACCAAGCCGACGACGGGUAGCUGGUCUGAGAGGACGAUCAGCCGGAUUGGGACUGAGA
rnacentral:rRNA from 1 species